rnacentral:rRNA from 1 species
UACGUAGGGGGCAAGCGUUAUCCGGAUUUACUGGGUGUAAAGGGAGCGUAGACGGCAGAGCAAGUCCGGAGUGAAAGCCCGGGGCCCAACCCCGGGACUGCUCUGGAAACUGUUAAGCUGGAGUGCAGGAGAGGAGAGUGGAAUUCCAUGUGUAGCGGUGAAAUGCGUAGAUAUAUGGAGGAACACCGGUGGCGAAAGCGGCUCUCUGGCCUGUAACUGACACUGAGGCUCGAAAGCGUGGGGAGCAAACAGG